UGGGUAGAGUACCUUCUAUUUUGUGGAAUAGUUUAUG
rnacentral:misc_RNA from 1 species